GACGAGCGCUGGCGGCGUGCUUAACACAUGCAAGUCGAACGGUAAGGCCCUUCGGGGUACACGAGUGGCGAACGGGUGAGUAACACGUGGGUGAUCUGCCCUGCACUUCGGGAUAAGCCUGGGAAACUGGGUCUAAUACCGGAUAGGACCAUUGCCUGCAUGGGUGGUGGUGGAAAGCUUUUGCGGUGUGGGAUGGGCCCGCGGCCUAUCAGCUUAUUGGUGGGGUGAUGGCCUACCAAGGCGACGACGGGUAGCCGGCCUGAGAGGGUGACCGGCCAAACUGGGACUGAGAUACGGCCCAGACUCCUACGGGAGGCAGCAGUGGGGAAUAUUGCACAAUGGGCGCAAGCCUGAUGCAGCGACGCCGCGUGAGGGAUGACGGCCUUCGGGUUGUAAACCUCUUUCAGCAUCGACGAAGCGCAAGUGACGGUAGGUGCAGAAGAAAGACCGGCCAACUACGUGCCAGCCGCCGCGGUAA
rnacentral:rRNA from 1 species